UAGGGAAUCUUCCACAAUGGACGCAAGUCUGAUGGAGCAACGCCGCGUAAGUGAAGAAGGUUUUCGGACCGUAAAGCUCUGUUGUUGGUGAAGAAGGAUAGAGGUAGUAACUGGCCUUUAUUUGACGGUAAUCAACCAGAAAGUCACGGCUAACUACGUGCCAGCAGCCGCGGUAAUACGUAGGUGGCAAGCGUUGUCCGGAUUUAUUGGGCGUAAAGCGAGCGCAGGCGGAAGAAUAAGUCUGAUGUGAAAGCCCUCGGCUUAACCGAGGAAUUGCAUCGGAAACUGUUUUCUUGAGUGCAGAAGAGGAGAGUAGAACUCCAUGUGUAGCGGUGGAAUGCGUAGAUAUAUGGAAGAAUACCAGUGGCGAAGGCGGCUCUCUGGUCUGCAACUGACGCUGAGGCUCGAAAGCAUGGGUAGCGAACAGGAUUAGAUACCCUGGUAGUCCAUGCCGUAAACGAUGAGUGCUAAGUGUUGGGAGGCUUCCGCCUCUCAGUGCUGCAGCUAACGCAUUAAGCACUCCGCCUGGGGGAGUACGACCGCAAGGUUGAAACUCAAAGUGAAUUGAC
rnacentral:rRNA from 1 species